AAUGACAGCAUAUACGCAGGCGCCAGCCAGUAUGAUUUAGACUACGUUUUCGCGCACUCCAGUGGCAUCUUCCUUACAAGCACAGUCUACUUUGUGGCCUACAGUGUAGCCAUGAAAAGUAGGCCAAAGCUGUAUCCAGAGGCAGUCUUACCAGGCUUCCUGUCAGGGGUGCUGUGGGCCAUCGCCACCUGCUGCUGGUUCAUAGCCAACCACUCACUGAGCGCUGUGAUCAGCUUUCCCAUCAUCACUGCUGUAAGUGGCCAGUUUCCUGGGUUCUUUUUACACUAGAAAUAGACAAAUUGCCACUCUCUAGUCGACAUGUAUUUGGUUGCUAAGAAGCAAACGUUUAUAAGCUCUUUUUAACAGGUUUGCAAAUGCCCAAUUUUCUACACCCCCCAAAUGUUUCCUUCCGUCGUUUUACCUAAUGACAUCUGGGAUACAUUAUAAUUUUCUACUCAUGA
rnacentral:lncRNA from 1 species